rnacentral:rRNA from 1 species
GAUGAACGCUAGCUACAGGCUUAACACAUGCAAGUCGAGGGGUAACGAGAGGAAAGCUUGCUUUCCUUGUCGACGACCGGCGCACGGGUGAGUAACGCGUAUCCAACCUGCCCCCAACUAGGGAAUAACCUUGCGAAAGUAAGACUAAUACCCUACAAUUUCCUCAGGUGUCAUCUGACGAGGAAUAAAGAUUUAUCGGUUGUGGAUGGGGAUGCGUCUGAUUAGCUUGUUGGCGGGGUAAAGGCCCACCAAGGCAACGAUCAGUAGGGGUUCUGAGAGGAAGGUCCCCCAAAUUGGAACUGAGACACGGUCCAAACUCCUACGGGAGGCAGCAGUGAGGAAUAUUGGUCAAUGGGCGGAAGCCUGAACCAGCCAAGUAGCGUGCAGGAUGACGGCCCUAUGGGUUGUAAACUGCUUUUAUACAGGAAUAAAGUUAGCCACGUGUGGUUAUUUGUAGGUACUGUAUGAAUAAGGACCGGCUAAUUCCGUGCCAGCCGCCGCAGUAA